GGGAAGGGCGGGCUCUCACAAUCUCGCAUCUUUUUUUUUUCUCCCUUGCUGAACUCGUCCUCCACUGCUCCUGAGUCUUCUUACGGGAUCCCCAGGUGACCCUGCAUAGCCGGAGUCCUCACCAGCUCGGGUACCGGGAGAUCCUCAGGAGGUCAGCGAGUCAUGCUGAGCGUGUGGCCAGGACUGGCGGGACCCGGUCACCAUCUGCCUUGGGGACCCGAGUGCAUGAAGUAAACAGUACGAUCAGAACAUUGAAGAUCAGAGCAAAAACUCCAUGGAGGAAUCUAAGGUAAUUUUACUCAAAAGAGGAAGCAGGGUCCCUUGAGGGAAUUCUAGCACAUCCUAUAAGUUUACAUGCAAGGAAACAAAAGAAAUAGGCACAGUAUAGAAUUCUUAGCAAUUUUUCACCAGAAAUAUAAGCUUAAUGAAGAUAUAUAUUUAGUGUAUAAAGAAUAAUUGAUUUUCUGACAGUACUGAUACCACAUUCUUGAUACCACUGGUUUUGUUUUGAGGGGGUAACAGGGAUUGAACUCAGGGGCACUUGACCACUGAGCCACAUCCCCAGCCCUACUUCUUUUUAUUUGAUUUAGAGACAAGGUCUUAUUGAAUUGCUUGGCCCCUUGCUUUUGCUGAGGCUGGCUUUGACCUUGUGAUCCUCUUGCUUUAGCCUCCAGAGCCUUUGGAAUUACAGGCAUGCAUCACUGUUUUUUUAAUAGCUAUGCAAGCAAUUUUUCAACAUAAUCAAUUCAUUUACUCUGAAAUGAUUUGGACGUGACAAAAUCUGUGCUUUCUUUGGUAUUAUAAUAAUGAGAGUCUAAGAUCUAUUAAAGAAAAAAAAACAAUUAGAAAAACAAAAAUAAAUAUGUGCUUUUAAUUUUUCCAGAAGUCAUAUGACAGACUCUACCAAAAUUAAAACAGAUAUUCAUUGUGGAAAACCCUUUAGUGAGAUCCGAAAUCUUAACCUAAAAAAAGACAUAUCUGCUUGAGUAAAUCAGUGUGAGUGCAGUGUAUUUGGAAAUGUCUUCAUAUUUUCCAUUCUUUUUUUUGGAGGUGGGGGUGCUAGAAAUUUUACUCGGGCACUCACACUAAGCUACAUCCUCAGCCCUAUUUUGUAUUUUAUUUAGAGACAGGGUCUUGGGGAGUUGCUUAGUGCCUCACUUUUUGUUGAGACUGGAUUUGAACUUGAGAUAAUCAUGUCUCAGCCUCCUGAGCUGCUGGGAUUACAGGCUUGGGCCACCGCACCAGGCUCUAUUAUUUCUUAAUAGGCACAUCAUAUUUCAGUCUGCUUAUAAACCAGAUGAACAUGAGAAGUGUGGUGGGAAGACAUAUGAACCUCAGCAGUACAGAAAACCCUCAUUUCUCUCCCAAGUAUUCAAAGGAAGUGAUGAAGCACACUAGAAAUGGACCUUAUGAAUGUGUAUGUAGGAAAGGGUUCAGUUGUUCCCAGAGUUUUCAAAACAUGAACCAUCUCACACUGGAUUAGAGUCCUAGGAAUGUAAGCUAUGUGGAAAAGCCUUUGCUUACUUCAGUUCCAUUUGAAAACACCUACUGGAGAAAAUCCCUAUGAAUGUUAACAGUGUUGGGAAAGCCCUCACUAUUUCUGAUUAUCCCCAACUGCAAUGCAACCAGUGUGGUACAUCCAGUUCCCUUCCAACAGUUGGAUCAAUUCAUACCAGAGAGAAGCAAGAUUGUCAAGAUUGUGGGAAGCCUUCCCUGUUUCUGUUCAUCUUCACUCACAUAAAAGUACUCAUAUUGGAGAGAAACCUUACGAAGGUAAACAGUGGGAUAAAUCAUUUACAGUUCUUACCUGACAGUACAUCGAAUAACUGAGAAGCCCUAUGAAUGUAAACAGUGUGGUCACCUUCAUGCACAUGAACAAACUCAGACGGAAAGAAGGCCUAUGAAUGCAAAGAACGUGGAAAAGCCUGGAGUUGGCCCUCUCACCUUCAAAAGCAGAAACAACUCAUAUGAUUGUGAACAGAGUGGCACAGCCUUCACUUAAAGUCAUGCUCAGAAAACAUCAAACAACUCAUACUGGAGAGAAGCACUGUGGAUGAAAACAAUGGGAAAUGCCUCCCAUUACUGGAGCUUCCUUUUAAAUAUGAAAGACAUUGUGCUUGAAAAAAGCCAUUGAAUGUAGAAAAAAAAAUGUGGCAAAUGAUCUGAUACUUCCAAUCACCUUCAGAGUCAUGAAAGGGCUCACAUGAGAGAAAACCUCUUUGAGUGUAAACAAUAGUUGGUAAGUCAUUGAGUGUUCUCAGUCGCCUUCAAAGCCAUUUCAUUAACUCUGGUAAACAAAACUGAAUGUGUGUUGGUUCCUUUUCCUUCCUCUGCACGGAUUUCUUAUUAUGGAAAGAAGCCCUGAGAAUGUGAGGAAUAUGGGAAGUGUCCAGUUUUCCCAGGUUUUUGUUAUGAUAUCUGGUGCAGGUGUCCAAUGUUCCAAUUCUCCUCAUUUGUUCACUUUCUACCCCUGUGACAAAAUACAUGAGAAAAAUCAACUUAAGGAAGGAAAGAUUUAUUUUGGCUCACUUGAUCAUAGGUUUCUGUCCAUAAUUGAGUGGCCCCAUUGCUCUGGGAAAUGGACCAUCAUGGUGGAAGCGCAGAGCAGAGCUCAUGGCACCCAGAAGGGGAAAGAGAGAGGGAGUAAUGGGCCACCAACCACAUAUAGCCUUCAAAGUCAUGUCUGAGUAGUCCACCUGCUGCAAGUAGACAUCCCCUCCUAGUGUCCUCCUCCCACAGCACCACCAGCUGGGGACCCAGCCUCCAGCACAUGUGGCUUUGGGGGACAUUCCAGGUCCAUCCAUGCUACAGCACUUGAGUUACAUGAAAGAACUCAUGCAGGGCAGUGCCUAGGAGUACAGAAUGUGAAGAGUAUCCCAUCUUUUCAGUUUCCUUCAAAGACAAAUCAGGACUCACAUUAGAGAAAUGCCUGAUGACUAAGAAAUCUGGUAAUGCUUUCAAUUUUCCAGUUUUCUUUGAAAAGAAGGAAGGAUUCACGUGUGGUAAUGAAAUGUGGUAAAUGAAUGAAGAAAUGCCUCCAGGCCUUCAGUUGUUCUAGGUCCAUUCAGACACACAGAAUUCAUUAGUGAGAGAAAGACGAGGAGUGCAUGGAAAGUGGGAAUGCCUUCAUCUCCCUGUGACAUUCAGAGGUGCAGGAUGAUGCAUCCAAAAGAUGUGCGUGUUAGCUCGACUUUAAGGUGUGAAAACACAUCGAUUUUCUGGGUUAAAUCUCUCAUCUUGCAUUGUAGGUCUUUCUAUUUAUAGUUUUCUAUCGUUUUGUUGAGAAUUUUUGUAUCUAUAGGCAAAAAAAAAUUUGUACACUAAUAUGUAGCAUAGAAGUAUCUAGUACAUAGAAUAUAUGUAUGUGCAUAUAUCUGUGUGUAUGCUAUAUAGGAUCAGUACAGUUUUGUAAGUAAAUAGUGUGUAUUAUAUAUACUAUUUUAUAAGAUAAUGUAAUUAAGCACCAUGUGCAUUAUCUAGGAUUUUAUGGCAUCAUAGUAUAGUAUUAAAUUCUUAUUGAUCCAUAGUAUCAGGUAUUUCAGUUUCCUCCUACCAGCCCUAUCCCAAACCACAUAAUUUUGAGGGAACCAAGAGCACCUCACUUUGAUGAUACUACAAAGCUUUGCCCCUUGCCCCUUAUUACAUCAGCAAUCAAGUGCAAUCCCUCUGUGGGCCUGGAUGGCUUCCUGUGCCCUCCUCUGCUUAACUCUGUGUUUCCAUUUUUCUUAUGUGUCCAGUGGGGGUGUUACAUGUUUGUCGAAGUCACCCUGGGUGCUAAUUCAUUUGUAGGUAGUGGUGUGAAUGGGAGGCUGUUAGAAACCUUUACAGCAUAAACAGAAUGGAGUGAACAUGAAUAAAAACAGCUGCUCAGCUUUUACUAAUUGCUCUUGGUGACUGGUUCCACGGCACAAUGAAACCACCUGAGUAGCACCUGCACUUUUUGAUGGGUUUGACCUUGGUCUGCCCACAGUUACUGAUUUGUACCUGGUGUUGCCAUUUCUCCCCUCACAUGAGUACUCACAUCCCCUACACAUAAUGGUUCACUGGCUUUACCCACUGAAUGCCUUCCUCCCUCAAGGCAGUGAAAGAAUAGCUACCCAACAAGUGCUUUAGUCCUGAUUAACAAGAAACAGGCUAAAGCUCUGUGGACCCUGCAUUUAAUUUGGGAACCAUCACUAAUUGCUUGGGAUACUCCUGGGAGAGACUCAGGGAUGGUCUUUUGUGAAAUUCGAGAAAGAAGGGGAUACUCACCUUGAGAACAAUUAAGUACAUCACCUAGUUUCUCAAAGUUGUUUUCAUGGAGCAGGCAAGAGUAGGGGCCUUGCUUGUCUCUCGUGUGCUAAUUACCUUACAGCCCUGUGCACCCUUCUGUUGAGGGGCACAUCCAUGAUGCUUGAUGGUCCAAGUGCUGAUAGGUAAUGCAUGAGGCAUUAGCUCCUCGUGAAACCUGGGAGGAGUAUCUCAACCAUUCAUGCUUCGGAAAACCCCUCACCAGUGUGUGAGUUUUCCUUAGCACUAAUGCUUGUCAGCAUGCUAAAGUCUCAUGGAAGAAGGUUUUCUGGCCUUAGAAAAAUGACUUACUGCAAGUGGGUAUUAACCCACACAGAAAUAAGUCUCAUUACCCGAAGGCUGAAGUGGUGUCUUCCAGUGUGGGUUACUGGGCUUCUGAACUCUUCACCUUAGCCACACAUGAGCACUAGCAGUGAUCAGAUGGAGUCAGUACUGGGGAAACCUGCAAGUUUGCAUCAGUGGAAAUCCAAAACGUCAUAAAUCCCUGUGGGUAGGGAAGGGAAAAGUGUCAUGUGCAGUGAUCAGAUCUAGGAACCCAGCACCUGAUGGCUUGGCUCCCCAAGACCCAGCAGUUGUACUGCCACAGUCACUACUGCCUGUGCCUCUGUCUCAACAAGUGUCCUAGUUCCUGUGUGAAGGGUGUAGAUGGCUAUUUAGAUAUCUUGGACCAAUGCAGUUGUCCCUUGUAGUUCUUAAGAGAAAACAUAGAGGUGAUGAGUAUGUAACUCCACAAUGGAUCCCUUGCUUUACAUGGGAGAGGAACCUGUGUUCAAUCCCCAGUACUGCACAACAGCAAAACAACAAUAAAAGAGCAACUGUAGCUGAGUGUAGUGACACACACCUACAUGUCAGCAGAUAGUGACCCCGAGGCAGGAGGAUAGCGAGUAGAAAGCCAGCGUCAGCAAAUUAGUUAGACCCUAAGCAAUUCAGCAAGACCCUUUCUCAAAAAGUUAAAAAAAAAAAAAGGACUGGGGAUGUGGUUCAGUUAUUAGACACCCCUGGGUUCAAUCCCCAGUACCAAAGGAAAACACACACACACACUUACACACACACACAUACACACACUCACAUACAUAUACACACACACACACACACACAAAAAAAAAAACCAAGCAAAUAAAAUAAGCAACUAUAAAAUGUGUGAUGGAGAAUGAAGACCAAUCCCAUAAAGUCAGUGGCCGAACUUCUUGCAUCUUGGAAAAGAUGAAAAGGAAGGCAAAACACAAGAGGUUAAGGACAUGAGAAGCUUAUGGGUGGCUAUAGGGGGCAUUGGCCUGGGGUCAGCCUGGUUGAUUGGGCCUUGUUUUAGUCAGUUUUUUGUCAGCUGUGACUAAAAGACCUGUCAAGAACAAUGCUGAGGGGGGAUUGUUUGUCCCAGGCACAGUUUCAGAGGUCUCAGUUCAUAGACAUUCCUGUCCAUUGCCCUGGGACCAAGGUGAAGUAGGACAUCUAACAGAAUGGAUGACCGAAGAAAGCAGCUCCAGACAUGGCAACAGAAAGCAGAAAUAGAGCUCUGCUUACCAAAAAUAAACGUAAAUCCUGCAGGAAAGCCCCCAGUGAGCCAGCUCCCCCAGCCACACCUCACAUGCUUGCAGUCACCAAGAGUUCAUCCACUCAAGUGGGUCGAUGCUCUGCUUGGGUUACACACAUGCUAGGCAAGUGCACUAUCACUGAGCCCCAGCCCCAGCCUCUUGAUGACAAUUCUUAGCCUAAAAAAUAAGAGAGGGAAGUGGAAAAGGAAAGCAGGAAGGAAGCCAUAAGUAGGAAAGAGGUGGAGAGGAAUUAAGUGUGAGCAGAUUUUUGUAAGGAAAAUUGAAAUUGAUGAAUACAGAAGACUGUUGUGUGGUGAAAUAAGACUCUUUCUCUUGAAGUAGAAUGUCGGAUUGUUCCUCAAUGGGCAGGAAGCAGUAAGAGUCAAAACUGCUGACGUAUGCACAUUGUAGGUGUAAAAAUGUUAUGACACUUGAUGUGUCCUUCAGAAUUCAUUAAAAAUUUUGAAGCAAAGUU